rnacentral:rRNA from 1 species
AUGAACGCUGGCGGCGUGCCUAAUACAUGCCAGUCGAGCGAACAGACGAGGAGCUUGCUCCUCUGACGUUAGCGGCGGACGGGUGAGUAACACGUGGAUAACCUACCUAUAAGACUGGGAUAACUUCGGGAAACCGGAGCUAAUACCGGAUAACAUGUUGAACCGCAUGGUUCAACAGUGAAAGACGGUCUUGCUGUCACUUAUAGAUGGAUCCGCGCCGCAUUAGCUAGUUGGUAAGGUAACGGCUUACCAAGGCAACGAUGCGUAGCCGACCUGAGAGGGUGAUCGGCCACACUGGAACUGAGACACGGUCCAGACUCCUACGGGAGGCAGCAGUAGGGAAUCUUCCGCAAUGGGCGAAAGCCUGACGGAGCAACGCCGCGGGAGUGAAGAAGGUCUUCGGAUCGUAAAACUCUGUUAUUAGGGAAGAACAAAUGUGUAAGUAACUAUGCACGUCUUGACGGUACCUAAUCAGAAAGCCACGGCUAACUACGUG